AGCGAACGCUGGCGGCAGGCUUAACACAUGCAAGUCGAGCGGGCAUCCUUGUGGUGUCAGCGGCAGACGGGUGAGUAACGCGUGGGAACGUGCCCUUCGGUUCGGAAUAACUCAGGGAAACUUGAGCUAAUACCGGAUACGUGCGAGAGCAGAAAGGUUUAUCUGCCGAAGGAUCGGCCCGCGUCUGAUUAGCUAGUUGGUGAGGUUACGGCUCACCAAGGCGACGAUCAGUAGCUGGUCUGAGAGGAUGAUCAGCCACACUGGGACUGAGACACGGCCCAGACUCCUACGGGAGGCAGCGGUGGGGAAUAUUGGACAAUGGGGGCAACCCUGAUCCAGCCAUGCCGCGUGAGUGAUGACGGCCUUAGGGUUGUAAAGCUCUUUUCUCCGGGACGAUAAUGACGGUACCGGAGGAAUAAGCCCCGGCUAACUUCGUG
rnacentral:rRNA from 1 species